UACGUAGGGCGCGAGCGUUGUCCGGAAUUAUUGGGCGUAAAGGGCGCGUAGGCGGCCUGACAAGUGGAAGGUGAAAUCCCUCGGCUUAACCGGGGAACUGCGUCUGAUACUGGAGGGCUUGAGUUUGGGAGAGGGAUGCGGAAUUCCAGGUGUAGCGGUGAAAUGCGUAGAUAUCUGGAGGAACACCGGUGGCGAAGGCGGCAUCCUGGACCAACACUGACGCUGAGGAGCGAAAGCCAGGGGAGCGAACGGG
rnacentral:rRNA from 1 species